rnacentral:lncRNA from 1 species
GCUUUGGGGAUGGUGGUCCCACUCACGAUAUACUCCCUAGAAAAAUUAAGACUGCGAGUAGACUGUGAGAAAAACAGGUUUUCUGGACUUGAGAUGUGUACAAAUGGCACAAAGAAAUCAGGAACUUCUGUGGAGAAGGAACACAGUUUCAGCUGAAGAAGAAGGGAGUGUGAUUUUGGAAGAGGAGUGAGGGAGAGACUGGGGUCCUUGAUCAUAUCCACGGCGCUUGGGCAGCUGGGUGGAUGGAUGGUGGUGAGGCUGGCUGUGCUCCACAAAAGGAGCAGCAGGAGGCUGCAGGGGGUUCGUAUGAGGAGAUGAUGACUGUGACUUGGGGCUGCUGACUUUGAAGUGCUGGUUGGGUAGGUAGGUCUGCAACUUAG